rnacentral:rRNA from 1 species
GAUGAACGCUAGCGGCAGGCUUAAUACAUGCAAGUCGUACGGGAUCCGAGGUAGCAAUACUUUGGUGAGAGUGGCGCACGGGUGCGUAACACGUAUGCAACCUACCUUUAACCGGGACACAACCUUGAGAAAUUGAGGCUAAUAUCCCAUAACACUGCGAGAUGGCAUCAUUUUGCAGUUAAAACUCCGGUGGUUAUAGAUGGGCAUGCGCGACAUUAGCUAGUUGGUGAGGUAACGGCCCACCAAGGCUACGAUGUCUAGGGGUUCUGAGAGGAUUAUCCCCCACACUGGUACUGAGACACGGACCAGACUCCUACGGGAGGCAGCAGUAAGGAAUAUUGGUCAAUGGGCGCAAGCCUGAACCAGCCAUGCCGCGUGAAGGAUGACGGCCCUAUGGGUUGUAAACUUCUUUUGUACGGGAAAAAACCUACUGGUCGUGUACCAGAGCUGAUGGUACCGUAAGAAUAAGCAUCGGCUAACUCCGUGCCAGCAGCCGACGG